AAGCAAUGUUGGGACUUUUUAAAGUUGAAGUUUUAACAAUAUCCUGAAAUACUUUGAUGGACAUUCAUAAACAAUUAACUAGAAUGUGGAAAUCAACAUUUUGUGUAUUAACAAGUCUCUAAAAGAGGAAUUCAGUGAGUUAUGAAGCGGCCCUUUUGGAAAUGCUUUGAACUGUUAAACAGCGAUUUUCAAAAAAGAUUGUGUAGCAACUUACCCCUGACAACGACCUCAGAAGUGCAGUCACAGAGUAAUGGUGCUGUUAUCACUUAAAAGCAACUAUCAAAAAAGAUUGUGUAGCAACUUUCCCCUGACAACGACCACUGGCUCAGUUAAGUGCAG